UGUGCAGAAAUUAGUUGACUUUUAAUUGGA
rnacentral:piRNA from 1 species